rnacentral:miRNA from 15 species
GUUAAAAUCGUCGACGUACACA